GCAUCGAUGAAGAACGCAGCGAAAUGCGAUACGUAAUGUGAAUUGCAGAAUUCCGUGAAUCAUCGAAUCUUUGAACGCACAUUGCGCCCCUUGGUAUUCCAGGGGGCAUGCCUGUUUGAGCGUCAUUUCCUUCUCAAACAUUCUGUUUGGUAGUGAGUGAUACUCUUUGGAGUUAACUUGAAAUUGCUGGCCUUUUCAUUGGAUGUUUUUUUUCCAAAGAGAGGUUUCUCUGCGUGCUUGAGGUAUAAUGCAAGUACGGUCGUUUUAGGUUUUACCAACUGCGGCUAAUCUUUUUUUAUACUGAGCGUAUUGGAACGUUAUCGAUAAGAAGAGAGCGUCUAGGCGAACAAUGUUCUUAAAGUUUGACCUCAAAUCAGGUAGGAGUACCCGCUGAACUUAAGCAUAUCAAUAAGCGGAGGA
rnacentral:rRNA from 1 species